rnacentral:rRNA from 1 species
GGAUUCCCUAGUAGCGGCGAGCGAAGCGGGAAGAGCUCAAAUUUAUAAUCUGGCACCUUCGGUGUCCGAGUUGUAAUCUCUAGAAAUGUUUUCCGCGUUGGACCGCACACAAGUCUGUUGGAAUACAGCGGCAUAGUGGUGAGACCCCCGUAUAUGGUGCGGACGCCCAGCGCUUUGUGAUACAUUUUCGAAGAGUCGAGUUGUUUGGGAAUGCAGCUCAAAUUGGGUGGUAAAUUCCAUCUAAAGCUAAAUAUUGGCGAGAGACCGAUAGCGAACAAGUACCGUGAGGGAAAGAUGAAAAGCACUUUGGAAAGAGAGUUAACAGUACGUGAAAUUGUUGGAAGGGAAACGCUUGAAGUCAGACUUGCUUGCCGAGCAAUCGGUUUGCAGGCCAGCAUCAGUUUUCCGGGAUGGAUAAUGGUAGAGAGAAGGUAGCAGUUUCGGCUGUGUUAUAGCUCUCUGCUGGAUACAUCUUGGGGGACUGAGGAACGCAG